rnacentral:rRNA from 1 species
UCGCAUCUGUGCAUGCAGCAUAUCAAUAAGCGGAGGAAAAGAAACUAACAAGGAUUCCCCUAGUAACGGCGAGUGAAGCGGGAAGAGCUCAAAUUUGAAAUCUUAAAGGGUCUCCCUUUACGAAUUGUAGUUUAAAGAAGUGUUUUCUGUUGAGGUUUUGGUAAAAGUUCUUUGGAAUAGGACAUCAUAGAGGGUGAGAAUCCCGUAUUUGACCUUUACUUUCAACUUUGUGAUACACUUUCAAAGAGUCGGAUUGUUUGGGAAUGCAGUCCAAAAUGGGUGGUAAAUUUCAUCUAAAGCUAAAUAUUGGCGAGAGACCGAUAGCGAACAAGUACCGUGAGGGAAAGAUGAAAAGAACUUUGAAAAGAGAGUUAAACAGUACGUGAAAUUGUCAAAAGGGAAGCGUUUGACACCAGUGUUGUUUUUCUGAAAAUCAAUUAAAGAACUGUUUAUGCUAAGUUGCUUAGACUUUAUCAGCUAACUGUUUAGUUUUGAGCUUUUCUUUAAUGCACUUUUCAGUUAACAAGUCAACAUCAAUUUCUUUUGCUGUAAAAAAGCUUGAGGAAGGUGGCUUGAGAUUCGUCUUAAGUGUUUAUAGCCUCUUGCCUAUGCAGUCGGAGAGAUUGAGGUCUGCAGCGUAGAUCCUUCGGGGCUAAAUGCAUUUGUGCUAAGUUAUAACAUUUUAUAGACAACUUGUUGACUAUGAUUUGUCUUGUAGCUUACUCGCUUAUGUUAUUUUACCUACGCUUAGGAUGUUGAAUCUGUGCGAGACUAC